GAUGAACGCUGGCGGCGUGCCUAACACAUGCAAGUUGAGCGAUUCUCUUCGGAGAAGAGCGGCGGACGGGUGAGUAAAGUGUGGGUAACCUGCACUGUACACACGGAUAAUCUAAAGAAAGGUAAGCUAAUACGAGAUAAUAUACUUUUACCGCAUGGUAGAAGUAACAAAGCUCAGGCGGUACAGGAUGGAAACGCGUCUGAUUAGCUAGUUGGUAAGGUAACGGCUUACCAAGGCGACGAUGAGGAGCCGACCUGAGAGGGUGAUCGGCCACAUUGGAACUGAGACACGGUCCAAACUCCUACGGGAGGCAGCAGUGGGGAAUAUUGCACAAUGGGCGAAAGCCUGAUGCAGCAACGCCGCGUGAGCGAUGAAGGCCUUCGGGUCGUAAAGCUCUGUCCUCAAGGAAGAUAAUGACGGUACUUGAGGAGGAAGCCCCGGCUAACUACGUGCCAGCAGCCGCAGUAA
rnacentral:rRNA from 1 species